UCAAACUUGGUCAUUUAGAGGAAGUAAAAGUCGUAACAAGGUUUCCGUAGGUGAACCUGCGGAAGGAUCAUUACUGGGUUAUGCCGGGGUUACUGGGCGUUUCUAAAAAACAACCUUACCCUCCGGCAGCCAUGAUCAACCACUUGUGCACGCAUAGAUUUUUAACGGGCUUUGGCGGACGUGAAAGUCUGCCAAAGUUUUCGUUUAUCAAUAAACUUGUCUUUUAUAUUUGACUGAUUUUUGUUUAAAUUAAAUAAACAACUUUCAACAACGGAUCUCUUGGCUCUCGCAUCGAUGAAGAACGCAGC
rnacentral:misc_RNA from 1 species